UACUGAGCUGGAGUUUUGCAUACUCUGCUAACAGUAAUAAUGGAGGGAAUGACUAUGUCGACCUAAAAACCUCUCCUUUGACGGUAAAUGGUCAACUUGGAUUCCAGCAGAGGGUGAGAGUGCCACCAUCAAUGAUUUGGGAGGAGAAUCAAACUGAAGACAAAGGAUGAAGCACUCAGAAAUGGACCUAUAACUUGUGCAUAAAGUCCAGUAGCAGGUUGGCAAUAGUAGACAGACUUUUGCCUUAGGCCAUUGCUCAUUUGGUUAAGCUGGCAGUGCAGGAAUUCAUCUCAGGAUCAUGUGCUUUGUUAGGUGAUGAGGAGUUCCUUUCAUACAUUCAGAUUAUUGCCAAUCUAUAUCAGAUUUCCCUAUCCUGACAUUUGCAGUCCAGAGAGAACUUAAUUAGUUAAUGUUUACAUUUUAAAAGCAUGUUUGAAGUACUGCUAAUAUUUAGCAUUCAUUUGUUUUAGCUCACCUGAACCAAAGGGUGAAGUGAGCCUUUCUGAUUGAAAUUUGUCCUUUGUUGUCAAUGUAAACUUUUCACAUAUUUGAACUUUUUUCCAAAACAUCAAUUUUCAACCAAACUUGGCACAAGGCAUCCUUGAGUAAAGGAAAUUAAGUUUCUUCAAUUAGAGGACUAUACCUUCUUGGAAGCAGCGAUAAUCAAGAAAAAGCAAAAAUUCAGGGAGAGGGGUGGUCUUGAGACAUGCUCUCCUCAUCAUAUAGUGAAAACGCAUUAAAUUUUUGAAAAUCUUAUUCUCUCUUCUGUAGGCAUUUGGCAGGCAAACCAAUUGAAAAGUUGUAAUGAGCAAAGGUGUUGUUACCACAUAUGUAAAUCAUAACCACAGGGUCAGGGUUUCUGAUGCUGGGGAAAUGCACAAUUGAUUAUGUAAGGUAUAUUCACUCUACUUUGAGAGAAGUUAGUCCCCUUUGAUUAUUCAACUACGAUAAUGAAAAAACUUGGGUGUCCACUAAGGUCCUUCAGCUUUUUGCUUUGUCAAAUUAUGGAUCCUUGGAUAAGGUUGAGGCUAAAAUAGUGUAUGAAAUGAAAUAACAUCUUUAAAACAUUCUUUUCUACAAUAAGGUCAAUUUAGUUACAUGUAUAUUGAUAAUGUAUGUAUCCAGUAAGUACAUUGUAGUUUGAUAAUGAAGUGUUUCCAUUUUGAGUGAAUUUAAAUUUAGUUUAAUUAUAAUUCCUUGGGGCCAAGGUAGGGUCACCAUAUUGGAUCAAAUUUUUUUAUGGAAAUAACGAGGGAUUAUUUUAAAAAACGUUCUUCAGAAGAACAGGGCUAAUACAACUUAGUGAGAGUUAUGGCCCUUGGGCCUCCUUUUUUCCCUUUUUAUUUUGGUUUGUUAUUUUAGCACUUUUGGUGCAUGCAUAAAGGUUCUUUAUUGAAAAAAAAAUUGAUUUUUAUUUUUUUAAACUAAUUCCCAAAUGAUGAAGCCCAGACAGUACUGUUGAAAAAGUUACCUGUAUAAUGUAGUUUAACCUGCUUCAUUAGAUGUGAAUUCAAAAAAAAAAAAUGUACAUAAAUUUACAUAAUUAUUUAAUUAUUAAUUUACAUAAUUAUUAUCAAUAUCUUUCGAAAGAUUCUGAUCCAUUUUUUUACUUCAUCCAAUA